rnacentral:rRNA from 1 species
CCCCCCAUCCCGCCGCAUUUUUGGUUUGAGCUCUUCUGGCUCAACCAGGCUGGAUUCCAUGAGGUGGUCAUGGCUAAGUGGAUCUUCGCGCGGUCCUCUCCCCACCGCUCCAUGUCCGCCAUUGACUCGUGGCAGUUUUGUGCCAAGCUCGCUCGCCAAUUUAUGAAGGGGUGGGAAGUGAACCUUGGCCGGGACCUCCGCGAACGCAAGCGGGCUCUCCUGUCGGAUAUCCAAGCCCUGGACGUCCGCGCCGACUCUUCCGGGAUCUCCCCGGAUGAGUGGAUGCCGAGAUAUGAUCUCGAGGAUUAGCUCUCGACCAUCUACAUGGAUGAAGAGACAUACUGGAGGCUACGCGGCACCCAACGGUGGGUGCUACGUGGUGAUGCUAAUACGGCUUACUUCCAGGCGAUUGCCAAUGGGCGGCGGCGACGGAACUCCAUCCAAUGCUUGUGGGAUGGAGAUACCCCUCUCGUCCGCCCCUCGGACAUCUGAGUCCAUGUAGAUGGCUUUUACAAAGCCCUAUUCUCCCCCACCCCUCGGGGUGGGGCUGCACUGGCCCCCGACACUUGGUCGGCUAACCAGUUAGUAUCUGACGUGGCAAAUGCCGCCUUGGUGGCACCUUUCUCGGAGGACGAGAUCCUCGUGGCCAUUAAGGGUAUGAACCCCUCCUCGGCCCCAGGUCCCGAUGGACUGCCCGUGACGUUUUUCAAAAUGUUCUGGCAGACCAUCAAACGAGAGGUCAUGGCCCUCUUCGAUGAAUUCUACUCGGGGACCAUGGACCUUGGGAGUCUGAACUAUGGGGUCAUCACUCUUAUCCCUAAAGUCCCCGGCGCUUCUAUCAUCCGCCAGUUUCAGCCUAUCACUGUGAUCAUUGUGAUAUUCCGGAUCCUGGCCAAAGGGUACGCCAAUAGGGUGACCCUCCUUGCUGACUCCGUCACCCACCCCAACCAGUCCGCCUUCAUUUAG